UGUUGUUUAAACUCCUAUCCCCACCUCCACGCGGUACCGGCCGGAAACUAUGAGCAACCUUAGGGAAGAUCGGGUAACCAACCCCGGUGGGAACUUUGGUCGUAGGCUGACAGGGAAGG
rnacentral:ribozyme from 1 species